UAAUAAUAGUAACUUCUCAAAAAUGUAUUAUACAGCAUGUGCUCGUCUUGAAAAGGUGAUACAUUUUGGCUUAAACAUGUUUUUAAAUUCCAUUUUCCAACAGUGAUAACUGCUAAAGAUGAAACAGAUUAAUUCUUUCUUUUUUCUUUUAGAUCAGCAUUGAAGCAUUGUUUACAGUAAGAAUAGGCACCAACAGAAAGACAAAUCCAACACUAAUGCACCAAGGAUCAAGGUGAUUUUUGGCAGCUUGGAGAAUUUUUCUUUAUCUGUCACAUCUGGUACAGAAUCUCUGACAUUUUGGUAUUUGUAAUGUUUAUUUUAUUAUAUUUGUAUACUUAUGCUAGAUAUUAAUAUACUUGUAUAGUUACUGUAUGUUUCUGAAUUAAAAGAUAGCCCCAGGUAAAAAUGUAAAACUGAUAUAAUACUGAUAUUGAAAAUACAAGCUAAAAUGGCACAAUUUGUUGCUUUCUCCACCUGUUUCACAAAUGAAAACAUUUUAUAUGCACAGAUUCACUUGCCGGAACUGUACAGAUUUUUCUUGUUUAAUUUCAGGCCAAUCUGUAUUGUAGACACAACGUUUGUUAUAUGAAUGCCCCAUCUGAAGGGAACUGCCUUGAAAAAAAUAUUAAUGGCAUUUUCUUUUCGUCUUAUCUCUGUAUAGACCAUGGCUCCUCCCAUCUUACCCUGGAGAGCCGGUGCCCUGCAGAGUUAGCUUCAACCUUAAAGGAAAACACCACAGGUUUUUCAAUAUUUUUUAUGUUAUCACCUCAACUUAGACAAAUCAAUACAAAUCCUUUUUUUCAAUGUGUGCACUUUUAAUCUUUGUACAGCGCAUCGUGAAUGUAUUAGCAUUUACCCAAGCCCAAUUCAUUCCUUAGGAACAAAACAAAAGUUUUAUUUUGUGCCACCACACUUACUCGUGUAACUACUCAUGUAACAGUCUUUAAAUAGGAAAAAACAUGGAAGUGUUUGGUGGCUUUUAAAUUAAUCCCUGUUUGGAUCCUAAGGAAUUAAUGGGGCUAGGCUAAAUGCUAACACAUUCACGACACGCUGUACAAAGAUUAGAAGUGCAUGCAUUGAAAAAAGAUAAGUAUGUAUUAAUUGAUCUAAGUUGAGAUAAGAACAUAGUAAAAUAUUGAAAAACUGUGUGUCUUCUUUAAUCAAACAUACCUGAGGUAGAUGGGUUUGAUCAGGGUUGAUGCUAAACUCUGCAGGGCAGCGGUUCUCCAGGGUAGGAUUUGAGGAACCCUAUUAUAGACGGUUUCAGCGACAGUAACAUACAUAAACGCUUUUGUGGCCCAAACCUAACUUCCGGGAGAUUUCCGUGUAGAACCAAUAUAGGAAAAAACUGAAAUUCUGUCAUAAUUUACUCACUCUCAUUUUGUUACAAACCUGUAUACAUUUCUUUGUUCUGAUGAACACAAAGGAAGAUAUUUUGAGGAAUGUUUUUAACCAAACCGUUCAUAAGCCCCAUUCACUUCCAUAAUAUUAUUUUUUCCUACUAUGGAAGUGAAUGGGGCUCAUGAUUAGGGCUGUGACGGUUGUCAUAACCACACACAACCACGGUGGUGAAGUGCGACCCACGAUGGUAAAGUGGGACCCGCGAUGGUGUGCACGUCACAAACAAAUUAAUUACAAUCUUCACAGCAAAACUUCCUUUUUUUCAAAGCAUGUAGGUGCUCCAGAGCAUCUGUCAUUGCUAAGUAACCUAAGCAUUGCUUGACGUUGUGACGAGCACCCACCGGCGGAAAAAGAAACUGGCGCCUGUGAACAAGCAUGUUCGUUAAGAAAUGUAUAUCUGAUCAUUGUUUAAAUUUUUAUUUUUUAAAAUACAGUGGGGAAAAUAAGUAUUUGACACAUCAGCAUUUUUAUCAGUAAGGGGAUUUCUAAGUGAUAUAGCCAGAUGUAGCCAUCAAGCCAAAUAUUGAAUUCAUACAAAGAAAUCAGAACAUUUAAGUAUACACGUUGAGUCAUAAUAAAUAAAGCGAAAUGACACAGGGAAUAAGUAUUGAACACACAUAUUUAAUACUUUACAGAAAAGCCUUUGUUGGUGAUUACAGCUUCUAGUUGUUGUAUGGAGAGACCAGUCGUCUUCAUUGCUCAGGAGUGAUUCUGGCUCAUUCUUCCAUACAAAUGGUCUUUAAAUCUUGAAGGUUCAUUGGGCCUCUUUUAUGAACUUUGAUCUUUAGUUCUCUCCAUAGAUUUUCUAUGGGAUUUGUAUCAGGUGAUUGACUGACCACUUCAUUGUUUCCUUGGCCUUGUGUGUGGGAUCAUUGUCUUGCUGAAAUGUCCACCCUCUUUUCAUUUUUAGCUUUCUGGUAGAUGGCAGCAGAUUUUUAUCCAGAAUGUCCCGGUACAUUUCUCUAUUCAUCCUGCCUUCAAUAAUAUGAAGUCUGCCAGUACCCCUUGCUGAAAAGCAGCCCCAAACCAUUAUGGUUCCACCCCCAAACUUAACUGUUUGUAUGGUGUUCUUGGGGUGGUGGGCAGUGCCAUUUCUUCUUCAAACAUGGUGUGUAGAAUGACUGCCAAAAAGUUAAAUUUUGCUUUCAUCUGACCAUACUAUAGUCUCCCAAUAAUCCACAGGCUUCUCCAAAUGCUCUUUCGCAAACUUUAACCGAGCCUCAACAUGCUUUUUGUUCAGCAAUGGAGUCUUGCGUUGUGAGCGUGCAUGGAUGCCAUGGCGGUUCAGUGCAUUGCUUAUAGUUUAGACCUUGAUGCGAGGUCUUCCUGAAGUUCUGCCCGAGUGGUUCUUGGCUCAUGGAGAACUCUCCUGAUUAUUCUUUGCACUCCUUGGACAGGGAUCUUACUUGGGAGGACCUGAUUGUAGCCGGUUUAUGGUGAAGUGAUGCUCUUACCAUUUCUGGAUAAUGGCCCCCACAGUGCUCACAGGAACAUUCAGCAUUCUGGAAAUGCGCCUAUAACCAUUCCCAUCAAAAUGCUUUUCAACAAUAAGAUUACGAGGAUCUUGAGAAAGUUCUUUGCUUUUACCCAUCAUGAAGUCUUUCCUGUGUGCCUCCUGGGUAAUGAGAAGCAUUUAUAGGCCAUCAGUUGUGUUCAAUACUUAUUCCCUGUGGCAUUUCACUUUAUUUAUUAUGAAUCAACUUGUAAAUGUUCCUUUGUAUGAAUUCAAUAUUUGGCUUGAUGGCUACAUCUGGUAGAAAUUUUGUGUCAAUAGCCCACUUAGAAAUCCCCUUACUAAUAAAAAUGCUGAUGUGUCAAAUACUUAUUUUCCCCGCUGUAUAUGUAUGCAUUAUAUAUAUAUAAGACAAUAUGCAUCAAUGUAUAUCAUGCAUCAAUAUAACGCCCCCCCCCCCCCCCCACACACACAUUCUAUGAACACCACGGUGAUCAUGAUCCGUUUGGUUACAAACAUUCAAAAUAUCUUCUCGUAUUCAUCAGAACAAAGAAAUUUAUAACAGGUAGCAACAUGAGAGAGAGAGUAAAUGAUGACAGAACUUUCAUUUUUGGGUGAACUAUUUCUUUAACUUACUGUAAUUUCACAAACCUGAAGUCAGACCAUUCGUUUUUUAUUUUGAAAUUAUAGAACAAUUGUAAUUAUGAUAUUUACAUUAUAGAACAAACAAACAAACCAAAUUUAAAACAAAACUUCACCUGAUGCUACAAGUAUGUUGCAUCUUUGAUCAUUGUGUUUAAAAUACACUUGUUGCCUCUAAUUUCAAAUAGCUUCAAAUUGUUUUAAGGCCAUUUAAGUCGGUUUACAAGUAAAUAAACAUCUUAUUUAUGUACUUUUUCUGUUGCCUAAAGAAAAAGAAUCUGCCAAUUUGCUUUACUAAUUUAUCACAAAUUAUAUACAUCAUCAUUACACAAUAGUAACCAUGCAGUCACAAAAUGUCCUGGCUAAUGUUCAACCCGGUAUUGGGUCAAAAAUGGGACGAAACAACCUAGCAUUUUGGUUUGAACCUGCCAGGCAUAGGUUAAAUUCCAACCCAACGGUUUGGGUUUGUCCCUUUUUGAUCCAACACUUGUUUGACAGAAACCCAUCAUUUUUUGUAUUAUAUAGAAUAGAUAAAUUAUUUCAUCCUUUACUUAUGGGGGCUGUUUAUAAAGAAUUGGUUAAUAAUGCAAAUUUACAUCUGUGAUAGAAUCUGUAGUUGUGUGAAACAGUGAAAGUGUUAUCUUGUUAAUGUGUCUGUUUUGUACUACUUCAGUAUGUUUAGAAUAUUUAACAGUAGCCAUAAAGCUUACAUUUUAGGAGAAUUUGAUGUAUGAUUUUAGAAAUAUGAUUUUAACAGUAAAAUGUUUCAUCUAUUUCAUGUAAGAUUUGUAAUUCUUUUACUGAAUCAUUCGUUACAUUUUAUACAUUUAGCGAUGUUUGAGAUGUUACACUGUAUAUUCACAGUUUUUUUACACACUUAAAAUCCUUAAUAAAUCUUUUUAAUUUACUAUCUUGA